rnacentral:rRNA from 1 species
CCUACGGGGGGCUGCAGUGGGGAAUAUUGGACAAUGGGGGCAACCCUGAUCCAGCCAUGCCGCGUGUGUGAAGAAGGCCCUCGGGUUGUAAAGCACUUUCAGUGAGGAAGAACGCCUGGUGGUUAAUACCCAUCGGGAAAGACAUCACUCACAGAAGAAGCACCGGCUAACUCCGUGCCAGCAGCCGCGGUAAUACGGAGGGUGCGAGCGUUAAUCGGAAUUACUGGGCGUAAAGCGCGCGUAGGUGGCUUGAUAAGCCGGUUGUGAAAGCCCCGGGCUCAACCUGGGAACGGCAUCCGGAACUGUCAAGCUAGAGUGCAGGAGAGGAAGGUAGAAUUCCCGGUGUAGCGGUGAAAUGCGUAGAGAUCGGGAGGAAUACCAGUGGCGAAGGCGGCCUUCUGGACUGACACUGACACUGAGGUGCGAAAGCGUGGGUAGCAAACAGGAUUAGAUACCCUAGUAGUC